GUUGACUUGUUCAAUCACUAAUGGGAUGCACCUGGUAUGCAGAAUAUCUUGUUGGGCUCAUUUGGUAGACAUCUUCGGGAGGGUUUAAAACAAACUGAACUUUAGUGGAGGUGAACUUUACAACGUUCUUAACUGUGUUGAGCCUGUAUCUCUAUGCCUCUU